rnacentral:misc_RNA from 1 species
UAGAGUGGAUGAAGCAAUCCAAUGCUAUAAUCAAUGCCUUGCAUUACAACCGACCCACCCACAAGCACUCACCAACCUUGGGAACAUAUAUAUGGAAUGGAAUAUGGCAUCAACUGCUGCUUCAUAUUACAAGGCUACAUUGGCUGUCACAACAGGACUGUCUGCUCCUUUCAACAAUCUUGCAGUAAUCUAUAAACAACAGGGGAAUUAUGCAGAUGCUAUAUCUUGUUACAAUGAGGUUCUUCGGAUUGAUCCCUUGGCAGCUGAUGGACUUGUAAACAGGGGCAACACUUACAAGGAGAUUGGUAGAUUGAGUGAAGCAAUUCAGGAUUACAUUCGUGCUAUUACCGUCCGGCCAAAUAUGGCUGAAGCUCAUGCAAAUUUGGCUUCAGCUUAUAAAGACAGUGGACAUGUGGAGGUUGCUUUGAAGAGCUAUAGGCAGGCUUUGCAUCUUCGACCAGACUUCCCUGAAGCAACUUGCAACCUUCUACACACAUUACAGUGUGUCUGCAGUUGGGAGGAUCGUGAUAAGAUGUUCACUGAUGUUGAAGGGAUUAUCCGGAGGCAGAUUACUAUGUCUGUUCUUCCUAGUGUGCAGCCCUUUCAUGCUAUUGCAUAUCCCAUUGACCCAAUGCUGGCACUUGAUAUCAGCCGUAAGUAUGCAGCUCAUUGCUCCAUAAUUGCAUCGCGUUUUGGACUUCCUCCUUUCAGUCAUCCUCCACCAAUUCCCAUAAAGCGUGAUCGUGGUGAGAGACUUAGGAUUGGCUAUGUUAGCAGCGACUUUGGUAAUCACCCAUUGUCACACCUUAUGGGAUCUGUAUUUGGCAUGCACAACAGAGAGAAUGUUGAGGUUUUCUGCUAUGCAUUGAGUCCAAAUGAUGGUACGGAAUGGAGGCAACGUAUCCAUUCUGAAACUGAGCAUUUUGUAGAUGUCUCUGCCAUGUCGUCAGAUAUGAUUGCCAAACUAAUUAAUGAGGAUAAAAUACAGAUCCUUGUUAAUCUCAAUGGUUAUACCAAGGGUGCCAGAAAUGAAAUAUUUGCUAUGCAGCCUGCGCCCAUACAGGUGUCAUAUAUGGGAUUUCCUGGGACCACCGGAGCAACAUACAUUGAUUAUUUAGUCACUGAUGAGUUUGUUUCACCCACACGUUACGCGCAUAUUUAUUCUGAAAAGCUUGUUCACAUGCCACAUUGCUACUUUGUGAAUGAUUAUAAACAGAAAAAUUUGGAUGUUUUGGAUCCAACAUGCCAACACAAGCGAUCAGAUUAUGGUCUUCCUGAAGAUAAAUUUAUAUUUGCAUGUUUCAACCAAUUGUACAAGAUGGAUCCUGAAAUCUUUAAUACUUGGUGCAACAUUCU